rnacentral:rRNA from 1 species
AUUGAACGCUGGCGGCAGGCCUAACACAUGCAAGUCGAGCUAGCGGCGGACGGGUGAGUAAUGUCUGGGAAACUUCCUGAUGGCGGGGGAUAACUACUUGAAACGGUAGCUAAUACCGCAUACCCUCAGAUGUGCUCCGAUGGGAGUAGCUAGUAGUUGGGGUAGCGGCUCACCUAGGCGACGAUCCCUAGCUGGUCUGAGAGGAUGACCAGCAACACUGGAACUGAGACACGGUCCAGACUCCUACGUGAGGCAGCAGUGGGGAAUAGUGCACAAUGGGCGCAAGCCUGAUGCAGCCAUGCCGCGUGUGUGAAGAAGGCCUUCGGGUUGUAAAGCACUUUCAGCGGGGAGGCGUUACCCGCAGAAGAAGCACCGGCUAACUCCGUGCCAGCAGCCGCGGUAAUAC